UGGAAAGAUGAAUCAAAGAAGGUAAUAAUCCUGUAGUCGAAAAUGUUGUCUCUCUUGAGUGGAUCCUGAGUACGACGGAGCACGUGAAAUUCCGUCGGAAUCUGGGAGGACCAUCUCCUAAGGCUAAAUACUCUCUAGUGACCGAUAGUGAACCAGUACCGUGAGGGAAAGGUGAAAAGCACCCCGGAAGGGGAGUGAAAUAGAACCUGAAACCGUGUGCUUACAAGUAGUCAGAGCCCGUUAAUGGGUGAUGGCGUGCCUUUUGUAGAAUGAACCGGCGAGUUACGAUUUGAUGCAAGGUUAAGCAGUA
rnacentral:rRNA from 1 species